rnacentral:rRNA from 1 species
AUUGAACGCUGGCGGCAGGCUUAACACAUGCAAGUCGAGCGGAGAGAGGUAGCUUGCUACCGAUCUUAGCGGCAGACGGGUGAGUAAUGCCUAGGAAUCUGCCUAUUAGUGGGGGAUAACGUUCCGAAAGGAACGCUAAUACCGCAUACGUCCUACGGGAGAAAGUGGGGGAUCUUCGGACCUCCCGCUAAUAGAUGAGCCUAGGUCGGAUUAGCUAGUUGGUGAGGUAACGGCCCACCAAGGCGACGAUCCGUAGCUGGUCUGAGAGGAUGAUCAGCCACACUGGAACUGAGACACGGUCCAGACUCCUACGGGAGGCAGCAGUGGGGAAUAUUGGACAAUGGGCGAAAGCCUGAUCCAGCCAUGCCGCGUGUGUGAAGAAGGUCUUCGGAUUGUAAAGCACUUUAGGUUGGGAGGAAGAGUUGUAAGCUAAUAUCUUGCAGCUUUGACGUUACCAACAGAAUAAGCACCGGCUAACUCUGUGCCAGCCGCCGCCGUAAAAC